rnacentral:lncRNA from 1 species
GGCCCGAGCUGGAGGUGCGAACUCCACAGCAGCCCUGAGACCCAGGCACUCCCUCCAGCCCUGCCAUACUCCCAUUGGCAGGAUACCCUCAGGUCCCGCCCUAGCUCCGUGGCCAUUGGCUGACUGAGUGAGCGCUCAGGCCCCUUCGGGACAACUACCUUCUAGUUUUGCGCGGCUGAGAGUGGACUUUGCGGAGCGGGUGGCCGGUGCUACCCUUUGGAGGUGGCGCGGCUCUAGGCGGAGCAAUGAGCCAGGAGUCCGUUUUCUAGAAUGUUGACACAAGGGCAUUGACGAGGUGUCAGGACGGCCUCACUCACUGGGCUAGGCGGAUCCUGCCUCUCUGGGGCCAGACCUUUCUUAAAGUGUCUUUUUAAGUACCAGGUCUGCUUAUUUCAUUUCACACUAGGAAAACUGGAGAGAUGAUCAACACUGCAGUCUUUAGCUGAACCUGAUACUUUUCAGAAUUUCCAGUAGAAAAUUGACCCAUCAGUAGUAAAAGAAAGUAAUUUUACUGUUUUGUCCUGUUUUACUAUUUUUCUCCUGUUAAUGUAUUUUUGUGUGUGAUCUUUUAAUAAUUGUGAUGAUUGAGCAGUUUAUGUGAUUAACUCAGUUUACCUAUAUUUGACCCCUCUCUGGUCUUUCCAAACUGAUUACUUAUUGGCAAUCACGGGACUCUUGUCUGCACUUGUUCACGGAGAGUAUUUACUAUUCAAGAUUUCUGCCUCCACUGCCUGGAAUUAAGCAACUGAUUUCAUAUUAUUCUUGCUAAUUGUUUUUAUUCCUGUUUUCUAUUGGGCAGUUCCUUGCAAUACAGGACUUACUGGGUUUGGGACUCUUCUAACAGCUGCCCUCUAAUUGUGAUUUAGCAGUGGCAUGAGUUUUAUGGUCCUCAUUAGCUUACGACUCAUUCACACAACAAAUAUUUAUUGAAUGUCUACUAUGUUCCCAUGUCCUAAGCAAUGGAGAUACAUAGGUGAAUAAGAGCAACAAAGUCCUUUCUAUAACUUACAUUCUUAUGAGAGGGAAGAGCAAUGACAUGGAAAUACAAUAAUUUUCAAUAAUCAGAAGCAAACAAAAAGUGCGUUAUAGAAAACGCCUGGUGGUUGGGGAGAUACUUUAGCAGGCAAGGGCUGUCAAGGAAAGUCUUAUUAGGAAGAUGACAUUGGAGCUGAGAUCAACUGCUAAAGAAGUGUAUUUGUUUCCUACUACUGUUGUAAUAAAUUACCACCAAUCUGAUGGCUUAAAACCACACAAAUUUAUUUUCUUACAAUUCUUGAGGUGAGAAGUCCAAAAUGAGUCUUCCAGGGCUGACAGAGAGGUGUUAGUGGGGCUUCAUUCUUUCUAGAGACUGUAGGAGAGAUUCUAUUUCCUUGUCUUUUUCAGCUUCUAGAGGCUGCCCACAUUCCUUGGCUUUCGUCCCCAUUCCUUCCUCUUCAAGGCCAUUAAUGUCAGUUUGAAUCCUUCCAACAUCGCUGUCUCUCUGAUUAUCUCUCUUCUACUUCCUUCUUCCACUUAUAAGGAUCGUUGUGAUUAUAUUGGGCCCACCUGGAUAAUCCCAACUCAAAGAUCAGCUGAUUAGCCCUUUAAUUCCAUCUGCAACCUUAAUUCUUCUUGCCAUGAAACCUAACAUAUUCACAGUUCUAGGGAUUAGUAUGUGGACCUAUUGGGGGAGGGGAGCAUUAUUCUGCCUACUAUAGAAGAGAAAUUUGAGGCAGAUAUGGGGGAAAAUAUUCCAAACAGAGGAAAUAUCAAGGGCAAAGGCUUCAUAUACUAAGCAAACCUUGUCCUCUGAGAGUGUUUCCAAUUUCUCUCCAUCUCCCACGCAAGGACACUGCGGAAGUCAGCAAGUUAGUCAGGUCUUUGAGUUUUUCUGUUUAACUGGCUUGUGACUAUCCCCAGGGGCUGAAGUUACCCCCACAGGUAUGUGUCACAGUAUCUGCAGCCACAGAAUAUCUACCUACUGCCUAUUACAAAUGCCUAUUAAGAGAUACCUUAAAAUUCUUAUUAAUCAAUAAUCUAAUAAAAUGAAAAAAUAAUUGUGAGAGAUCAUUACUAAAUUUGGUCUCUAGUUUCUUACCAAAGGCCAGUGGAGAUGACACAGGAUGGAUAUUGGGACUGUGGGUGGGAGGCAAUGCUGCUGAGGCACCAGGAGCUGAGGAAUAUCACCUAUGGGAUGCCUGAGAUCAACCCUGCCUUUGCAACACCAGGAGGCUUACAGUUUUUGGUCUGGCCACAGCUGUUAUACAGUACAGGUACUUGGUUCAGGAGUGGGCCCCCUGCCAUCAUUUAUUUUCAGAAAGGAUUAAUUUUCAUUACAAAAAUAUCCUCCAAUUCACUUAAAUUAAGGAGCAUUCCUUCUUUGGCAUUCUUUCCCUGGCUACAUAGCAGAGGAGAGCUGAGUUACCCCGAGGCAGCCAUUUCUGACUGACAGCACUGAUGAAAUGUUCCCCACCCCACCCCACCACAGCUCCCCUUGAGAGAUAAUAGGUGGGGUAUUCUCAGGAAUAACUAUAAGUCUUUCAGGACAUAGAGCCUUCCCUGUAACAGUUUAUCAUGUUCCCUCAGCUCAAUAAGGAGAAAUCCCUCCCUUAUUCCCCCUUCUUGCAUUUGCUCUUUGAGUGAUAGAAAACAAUCAAUAAUGUUUGUCUAUGGCUUUUAUCAUGACAGGAAGGUUUAGGGCAGCAGGAAGUUAAGUAUUUCACUGUUUCAUGGCUGAGAUCUCAUCUUCAGUACUCGGGGUGGAAUGGGUGAACACACUGUAUAGGGCUUUGCCAUUUCUAUGUGCAGAACAGUAAUGGUUCUAACAGAGAACAGCAAUGCUGUGCCAGAAUCAGAGCCUCUUUCUGGGCCUUUGGGAACUGAACCCAAGCUCCAGGGCUCAUCCUGAGGGGCAGUAUCAAGUGAGAUUCUCCUGGGGUCCCUUUCUGUUCUUGAAUGGCUGCAGCCCUGGCCUGGGCCGUGGGAGUUGUCCCAGAGAGCUCCCCACACAGAGUGAUGCAAUCAGCGCAAAUGUGCCUCCUUUGCAUGUUCCAUUAUGUGCAUUCUCAGUGUGUUUCAUCAGAAUUGAAGGAAGUGAGAGCCAAAGGAAGUGCCAAGCUGAGCCAUACUGGAGGCUGAGCUAAAAGAAAAAAGUCAAUAAUAGUGAUCCUGCCUUAUUAAAAAUUUGAUGUCUUGUUCGUAAUGGGUUUUUGCCUCAAUUUUGAUUUUAAACUGUUGCAUUAAAGUGUUAUCUUGCUUUUGAUCUUCUUGGAGCCCUCUUAAAUUCUGUUCCCAAGGUGAAUUUCUCACUUGCCUUAUCCUAGUCCUCAUGCUGGGAGGUAGGGUACCCAAAUGAAGACUUUGAUUACAAAAUGAUGUGUAGAAACUGAAUUCGUGCACUUGGAUUUUCAUUGUGCUCUUAGGAGCCAGGCACUGAGGUGGGGCUGGCAGACCAGUAGCACUUCUGGGUGAGAUUAGGAACCUUAUGAAAGUCUCCCUGUGACCACUUUAAAAAGUCCUCCUCACCCCACUGCCUGAAGUUCAGUCUUUACAAAUUAAAUGAUACUAAUUGAACAUUCCCUAUAACAGGCUAAGUUGGAAAAUGCAAAACCUGGUGGCAGGAGAGUACAGCAAUAGGAAGUUCUAAAAACGCUUAUACAUGAAUGAAUUUAAUCCCACAUUUACAGGCAAGGCCGAAUGAGGGACAUGAUGACAUGGAUUUAUUGGAGGUGGUGGCAUGGUGAUGAUGAUGAUGGUGGUGGGUGUGGGGGUUUCAGAAGAGGAUGCAGAAGGGGAAAGGAAGUUUUACAGAGAAACUUCUUUCCCUUCACAAUUUUUCCAAAGGCUAGAUCAACUUAGAGAAAUCACAUUUCUCAGAAGCAGGAGUUAUUCCUGCCAUUUCCUAGGGAUACUCAGCCAACCAAUCCUUGCCACUUCCUCCCAUCCAGCUACCCACUGGGCCAUCUUCUGUCAUGAUAUCUUGUAUUCCUUUCCUUGUGUUUCAAAAAAAUAGAAAUGCAUGAACACUUCAUGAUCUUGUUGAAGACCCUCUUCCAAAUGCAGUAACAGAGAGUCAGAGGAAGUUUAGUGUUCUAUCCAAGUCACACAAGAUAGCACCAGUAGAACCAGAAUUCUGGGCUCUGGACUUGCCAUGUGUUCUUUCAGUCAUUCACCACAAAUGUAUUGGGCACCUACUAGAUUAGAUGCUGGGAAUAUAAUGGUGAGCAAAAUCAGCCAUGGUCCCUGUGUUCCUGGGGUUUACAUUCUAUUGGGGGAUGCCAACACCAGUCAAAUAAUCACAAGUAAAUUUAUUAUUUAUAUUUUCAAACAUUACUAUGUUUUCAAGAUGCCAAACAUUUUUGUUUUCUGAAGUAAAGAAACAGUUCUACAAGUGUGCAUAACAUAGGAAAUGUGAUCAGUCUUGGAGGUCAGUAAUUGUAGUCUGCACCAAACAACCAGCUUAUAUCCAGGGACUCCCCCAUGAUCGUGUUCAUGGAAGAUGUUACUACAAUUCUUCCCUAUCAACUGGUCUCAUAUGGACACUGAGUGAAGGGAAAGGAAAGUAACAAAAUCCUCUAUUUAAAAUUCGUGAAUAUCACUCAGAGAGACAUUUAAGUCUUAAUUUAAAGCCUUCUUCUGCUUUGCAAAUGAUUUUCAUAAACAUUCUUAUAUUGUGCUUCUGAAAAUAGUAGAUUUGAAGAAGCAAACUAACAGUAGAUUGAAUUGUUGUUAGAGAUAGCCACAGCAACAAUUCUGGAGACAUCUGACAAUCUGAUAAUGAAAAAGGAAACAAUAAUUAUCAAAUAUAGAUGUAACAAACUAAAAAGCACAGGAGUCUGAGAUCAUUUAGGGUAGAGAAUAUCAGUGCCACACAUCUCAAAGUCUGAGAGCAUCAUGUGUAUGACAACAGAACACAUUAAUUCAUGUUCUCAUUAAAUGAACAUCCUUAUCAAAGAUUAAAAUUAUUUAAGAACAUUCUAAUUUAAGAGUGCAGAGGAAGUGUAUAUGUAUUUUUGAAAGAUUUGGCUACAUUUCAAAAACAGAAAAAAAAUUCCUAGAACUUGAAUAAUUUAACUUUGAUUAUUUAGAAAAUGUUCUUUGGGAGCCCUAAUACCCUGAUGAUGAUGAAGGAGGCCUCCUAGCCCUGGCUUGAAGGUUUAGUGGGGUUGCCUCUGGCCCCUCUCUCCCUGGUUUUACAGGUCAAUGCCCUCAGAGGAAACAAGAAGAGAGUGAUCUGGUCUUUGUGUCUGAACCCCAAACAAUUUUUAAUCAUUAUGGAAUAUAAGUUGAGAAAUUCUUUAGUGUCAUUUGUGGAGGUUGUCCACCUCUCAGAGUGAACAACCUGGGCCUGUAUCUGGGUACUGUAUCUUGGGUCAUCACACUCAGAUCAUGUUCUUCAACAACUUUGAAAAUUAUCUUCUGGUCUUCAGAAGGGACAUUUGCAGAUGGUUGGUGGUACAGAGGUUUAUUUCUCUGGGGUUUUAGAGACUGGCAUUUUAAGCAUCAGAGAGAAAACAGAGCAUUUUCUGGGCCUGCAGGAGAUGGUCAGUCAGACUUUUCACAGGAAUACCCGGCUUUCUAAUUUCUGUCCAUCCUCAAACCCACCCUCCUCAGGCCUGCUCCAGACCGCCUCUGUUGCAGAGCCUUAUCCAAAUGCUCUGGGCCAUAAUGCAUCUCUACCUGUGAGCCCCUCCAGUUUAUGCUUCUUAUCACCUAGCUCAGCAUUCACCUUGCAGGGCUUUCUCUUUUUCAUCUAUCAUUUAACGAGAAAGGCUCUAGACUUCUGGAGAAUAGGAUCCCUGUAUUACUCUUUUCCUGAACCUUAAUACCCUCAUAUGUGGUUAGACACAUCAUGGAACCUGAACCCAUCCUGGAUGAUUGGCUGGGUCUACCUGGGAUAGUCUCUCCCAUCAAGACUCCUCCUUAGAGGGCCCUCUGGGGAGGAUAUUUCAAGCCAGUUUGUAGGCUCCAGCAGAAGAUGUGUUUUGCCUCUCGGUGGAUUCAUCGGACAACCACACUGGGAAGCUUUUGUCUACGGAAACACAUGGUGUUAUCCACAGAGAACUUGUUCACAGAGAAGCAAGGGCCCAGACACAAUGCAAACCUGUUUUAAAGAAGAAGGAAUAAUCCCUACUGGUCUGAAGGGCAUAGUGCUCCUCACCUCCUUUUCCUGUCUCUUCUGGGAAUUGUACACUUCUGCUGUCCAGGGGAUGGGGCAGUAAUUUUCCUGAUUAUGCCUCACACCACAAUGACACAUCCUUGUACCUCUUAGCUAUACUUCUGGAAGUCAUAGCGUGACCUGAUAUAGAAAAGUAGUGUAGAGUUCACAUGGCACAACAUUUACAGCAACUUUAUAGAAUUUCAAAAUUGGAAGAAAUUUUGAUUUCCAAAAGCUAUAUUUUACAUACGGAUGUGGAAGUUGAGGUCCUGAGAGGACAAAUGACUCACUCAAGGUUACACAUUGAGCUGGUGGCGAAAAAAACAGCACAGUGUACUGACUCCUGGGGCUAUGCUCUUUCUUUUUUUCUCUUUUUCUUUUCUUUUCUUUUUUUAAGGCUGUCUCAACUGUGUGAGAGUGAGUAUAAACUUAUUCAGAUUGGAUAUCUAAUACCAUUCAACCUGAAAUCAAGUUGCUUGCUUCUUUUUUUUUUAAUCCACGUAACUGAAAGCCACCCUACUAAACACUAUAACUUAGCCUUCACUAGCUUCAUUUUAAAUAAUACCCCGACAUAUAUGUCUUUGUGGUAAUGAUUGCUUAAGAUGUCUUUCAGGAACUUGCAGCAGCCCCUGUCCAGUUCAAGCCAGUUGAGACCCUCUGGCUGAGCCUGCACAGAUGUCUGAAAAGUGACCUUUUGAUGUCAGAGGGCCCAAAACUCCAGCCUCAGAUCAUGCUAAUGCUGCCAUUUUCUGAACAUGUGACCUGUGAAGAGCCAUGAACCCUGACUAUGCUUAGUGCUGGAUCAAUGAUUACCUCAUUUUUUCGCACUGCCAAUUACCUUUCCACAUGCUUUUUAUCACCCUGCUUCUUUAUUGAAUAAAUAUUCCUAAGUCUUAUCUUCAGGAAGUUGGAUUUGAGAGCUGUUCUACUGUCUCCUUCCCUGGCUGUCCUGUGAAUAAAUUUUUUCUCUACUGCAAAACUUGUCAUUUCAGUAAUUGGUUG